rnacentral:rRNA from 2 species
CGGGAGACACACGGCGGGUGCUAACGUCCGUCGUGAAGAGGGAAACAACCCAGACCGCCAGCUAAGGUCCCAAAGUCAUGGUUAAGUGGGAAACGAUGUGGGAAGGCCCAGACAGCCAGGAUGUUGGCUUAGAAGCAGCCAUCAUUUAAAGAAAGCGUAAUAGCUCACUGGUCGAGUCGGCCUGCGCGGAAGAUGUAACGGGGCUAAACCAUGCACCGAAGCUGCGGCAGCGACGCUGAUGCGUUGUUGGGUAGGGGAGCGUUCUGUAAGCCUGCGAAGGUGUGUCGUGAGGCAUGCUGGAGGUAUCAGAAGUGCGAAUGCUGACAUAAGUAACGAUAAAGCGGGUGAAAAGCCCGCUCGCCGGAAGACCAAGGGUUCCUGUCCAACGUUAAUCGGGGCAGGGUGAGUCGACCCCUAAGGCGAGGCCGAAAGGCGUAGUCGAUGGGAAACGGGUUAAUAUUCCCGUACUUGGUGUUACUGCGAAGGGGGGACGGAGAAGGCUAUGUUGGCCGGGCGACGGUUGUCCCGGUUUAAGCGUAUAGG